CUUAAAUUGAAGAGUUUGAUCAUGGCUCAGAUUGAACGCUGGCGGCAGGCCUAACACAUGCAAGUCGAGCGGUAGCACAGAGGAGCUUGCUCCUUGGGUGACGAGCGGCGGACGGGUGAGUAAUGUCUGGGAAACUGCCUGAUGGAGGGGGAUAACUACUGGAAACGGUAGCUAAUACCGCAUAACGUCUUCGGACCAAAGAGGGGGACCUUCGGGCCUCUCGCCAUCAGAUGUGCCCAGAUGGGAUUAGCUAGUAGGUGAGGUAAUGGCUCACCUAGGCGACGAUCCCUAGCUGGUCUGAGAGGAUGACCAGCCACACUGGAACUGAGACACGGUCCAGACUCCUACGGGAGGCAGCAGUGGGGAAUAUUGCACAAUGGGCGCAAGCCUGAUGCAGCCAUGCCGCGUGUGUGAAGAAGGCCUUCGGGUUGUAAAGCACUUUCAGCGAGGAGGAAGGCGGUAAGGUUAAUAACCUUAUCGAUUGACGUUACUCGCAGAAGAAGCACCGGCUAACUCCGUGCCAGCAGCCGCGGUAAUACGGAGGGUGCAAGCGUUAAUCGGAAUGACUGGGCGUAAAGCGCACGCAG
rnacentral:rRNA from 1 species